UGACAUAGCAAGGAGACUCAUAUUUAAGCGAAAGAGAAACAGGAAGGGCCCUCUUUUUCCCCCUCGGCUCCUGCUCCAGCGGCACGAUGUGAUCCACCAGCUAGGAGGGACGCCAAUAAGGCGUCCGAUAAGAUAAGUCUUCUAAAAUAUAUAGACGUAUGAUAAUUGAGACUGAGCUAACAGAUAAAAAUCCUAGUCAUUGGCCAAGCAGCAUUGUAACUAAUACAAGUCUCUCUGGGUAUUCAUUUGGGCCUAACUCAUUUGGGCAGGCGGCUGGCGUAAAGCACACACGUGGUGGUGGGGCUCAAGCGGCUUUUGGCAGAAAGAUUUAUAGUAACACCCCUCCCUCUCUAUAACUGGAUUCCAGAAGUUCGGCUCAGUGCUUAGCUGUGGAUCUCUGCUUCUGCUUCCAUCAACUACCAGAUGAAAGCUCUGGGAUGGCAUUUAAGAGUCUGUCAUAGUCCACAGAACUCUGUGGUUAUGAAGUAACGCCCUAACUUCUGAUCUGACAGAUCAUCAGGAUCUUAUCCAUAUGUAAUUUACAUCAGCUUAGGAUAUCAAAUCGUCUUUAGACUAAAUAUGAACCUGUUACACAGACCCACUUUCAACUGUGUAUGUUGUACUGAACUAGAAAACACAAACUGGCUUCAAGUGUUACUGAAGGACAGCUUUGACAUUAUACCCUGCUUAAAUACUGAAUAUGAGUAUAUCCACUAUCAUAAUUAUGUCUCUGAAUUUUACACUCUCCUACUAUUGAAAUGUAGUGGAUGGAGCCGAGGGAAGAAAUGGACUGCUUUGCAAGACAUGGGUUCUCAGCCUCCAUGCCUGACCUACUGAAUCAGAAUGGGACAUAAAGCAAUCAUAAUGAUAGCUACCUUUCAUCAAGCACUCACUAUUUCCAGCACUAUGCUAAUUGCUUUACAUGACACACUUCAUUUCAUCCCUACAACAGCAGCCCAGUGAGUCAGCUGCUCUUAUUACAAUGCUUAGAUAAGAGCAUUGACUCUUGACUCAGACUUAAGACAUUCCUAGGUUACAGAUGCAUUGAGCAAUAAAUCCUCAUUUUUAUUCAUUUACCUCCAAAUUAUUUCUUUCUUCAAAUUAUUAGUAGUAAAAUAAUAUUUUCAAUAUUAAAAGGCCACAGGCAGUGCCAAAAACUGCUUCCCAAUCCUUGAGAAAAGAAACCCAACAAUUGUAAGUGAAAAAGAAUCAGCUGUGAGAUGGAUUGGAAAACAAAUUGCAGCCUUGCUGGCCGAUCUCUGUCGCCCAAAUUAACUCAAAAGCACAUAAUCCACUGGCUAAAAGAAGUUACCCACUGUGUGCAAUGAGAAAGGCCACUCAAGAACAGGGACCGUGCUCCACAUGCUCUGCCUUCCCAGACCUGGCCUGGUUAUUUCUUUCCUUUCUCGGGCGUUACCAGAACCCCAUGUCUUAGUGGACAGCAUUUCUAAAAGAGUUGGGUUGAAGAAAGAAGUUGGUAGAGAAAUGAAAACAAGAAAUGUGGAAGGUCUCAGGCACAAUCUGCGCAAACUCUAUUCCAACCUCCUGGUCAGAAAAUUCUUGGACAUUUCCAGGAAAACCUACAGCACCAAGAGCAAGGAAACAGUGUUUUCUUAGGCACCAAAACAUCAACUUUCUAUUUCCUGAUAUGCUGCGUUCAGCAAAUAACAAUCAUCAUCUUGCUUGGUCAAACUCACUUAUCCACGUCACUCAAGAAAAGGAAGCCUUUCAUUACAUAAGAGAAAAGAAACAGGUUAGACUUUCUUUAAUGUUUUCCAUUUUUUACAAAUUGUGGCACCCAGUAAGGCUUCCUUAAGAAAAAUUUAGGUGUUAAUUAAAGGAAUUUAAACGAAAUAUUAGUUUACUUAUGAAGACCACAAUUGCAAUGACUUGAGCUUCAUAAAUGGAAGUAAUUGAAUCAAACUGCCUCUUCUGGAGCAAAAUAAAUCCUGGUUUUAUCAUUCAUAGCCCUUAGUAAGACAGUUUUCUCUGUUCAAAAUUAGCAUUGUUAAAAUAACCAAAAUGAUGUGAUAGUCUUUAGAAGCUGGGAAAAUGCUUCUCAUGGUUCCCUAAUUUUAAACUUUUUUAAACAGACAAAAUUUUUUUAACAAGGGGAAAGUCUACCUUUAAGUAUACUGAUGGUAGUGUUUCUAUGACUAUAACUAUUUUCCCCAUUCUGUGACAACAUCUCUGUAACAAGGCCCAGACCUUAGUAGGCCCCAAGACUUUAGCACAACUGACCCCUUGGUGGAAGUACCACUUAGGCUAUAAAACUCAGCAUGUAGACAGUACCACCUGCCAAAACUAAAACAAAAACCUAAUCCAUGGAAGUCCACAGUUAGGGAAAGUCUCUAAAUGUACUAACCUUGCUUUUUGGCUUCUGUAGUUCUGCUUCUGUGUAACUGUUCUUGUUAAUUGAAGUAUGUCAAACCAGGAUAUGGUUUUUGUGCUUAAAAGCUCACCCUGAGAAAGGCUCCAGGUUACACUGGGAUCCCAAACACCCAAUGUAGUUGCCAACCAGCUAGUAGAGACUUUCAAUUCUGAGUAGUCUUCUAUGGUGAACACGCUACAACAAUCUCAUCAUCAUGGAUUAUUUUACUAACAAAGAUUCCAAACAUAUUUACACAAGUAUUAAAAAUAGUGAAAGUGUUAAGCUAGACUGGUCUGGGUAAAAUUCUGUUUUUGUCACCUUGUAGCUAUGUCACUUAGCUAAUCUACUUAACCAAGUUUAAUUUUAAUUCUUUCUGUUUAAAGUAAGAAUUGUUAACUCUAGCCUCAUAUACUUUUUUAUAAGUAAAAAAAAUAAAUCUGAAGUAUAUAUCUGAAAUAUAUCUUUUCUGUGUGAUUCUUCUAAUGAAAUCUUUUCAUUCCCCUUCAUAAAACAAAACCUAUAAUAAAGUCAAAAACAGGAGAAAACUAGCAGGUACCCAAAAUCAUUCAAGUUUUUCAUUUGUUUGUUUUUUGUAAUGUCCCCAGAGUAUAAAGUAGCCUAUUAUGGUGACUCAGAGUGAAACACUCAGCAUUUUAUUUCCUGCAGUAACAGUUGGAAGUUAUUCCCUCUUUUGAGAACAAAAAAUACAACCCCAAGAAGCUUUUUAAGACUGCAAAAUAGUGACUGUUGAACAUUCAUUUGCAUAGUUUUGGGAAACUGAUCUAAAUUUGUCUUUCUUCAACUUCUUCACUCAGAAAGCAUAUCCAGUAAAUGAAUUAUUCUUCCUCAAAGGCAUAGACUUAAAAACAUUUAACAUGGUAAAAUCCAUGUAAUGUUGAAAAGUACCAAAUUCUUCACAAAUAGACACAAGACUACAAUGACAGAGCCUAUGGCAAUGUUGAUCAUUACCAGGGGACUUGGUUUAACAGUGGCUGGUUUGCUGCUGACAUAAGACCACUCCAAAAUAGUCCAUUCCUUUUCUCUCCAGCAGAGAUGGAAAUAGAGUUCAAGAAGAAAUACAGAAAUAUAGAAAAAGGCUGGGGACUGACUUUGUAUAAAUAGCACUGUCUGACAGUGCAUUGUGUAGAUCUGAGUGCUUCAGAGCAAAAUGAAUUAGGAAUAUGGCCUGUGCUUUUGAAAAAAGUCCUAUGUAAAUCCUGAUAGAGUACAAAAUAUACCAACAGCCACAAGGGAGCUAAAGAACUGCAUGAGAUGGAUGCCAAUGGGGAGGCCCCUGCACUCCUGGGAGCCUCCGGAGGUGGACUGGCGUUUUGCCCUGGUGUGUAGGGGGGCCUUCGAGAGCCCAUCCCACUUGAAGGGAUGUGCUCUGUCUCUGAACACAUGGGGAGGGGCCUAGGCCCAGCACAGGAAGAUUUGGUGGACUUGGUGGAGCCCCGGUUGGGGGCCCUACCCUGCCUGGGGAGUGGUGGGUGGAUG
ensembl:lncRNA